AUUGAAACACUAGUUCUCAUACGAUCCCCGAAGUUAAGCAACGUCGAGUCUGGUCAGUACCUACAUGGGUGACUGUUUAAGAAUACCAUUUGCUGU